GACAUGUCUACACAGUCAUGGCCCUCAUUUAGAAUUUACCCAGAUGUGCUUUUUUUCUCAAUUAUGAGUUUUUGCCACUGGGAUUUUUGACCUGGCCCAAGUUCACUGGGUGGACUGGUAAUCCAAGACCCUGGUCCAAAGAGGGGAAAUAGAUUUUAUUCCCAUUUUUGAUUAUAUGUGUUUACAUUGUGAAUUAUAAUAAUAAUAUUCCCGUUGUUGGGAAUAAUACACUUUGCCUGUUUUGAUCCAAGGCUCAAGUUGCAGAUAACAUGAUGUGCAGUAUGUUUAAAAUUGGUUAAGAUGUCAGCUGUUUGAAAUAUUUAACUUGUACACUUAAAAGAUGUGUACAACAGAUGAUUACAGAAGCUGAAAAUCGACAGCUCGAUCUCCUCUUAAAGGGAAAACCUACGGCAUAGAGCAAAUGGGG